rnacentral:rRNA from 1 species
GACGAACGCUGGCGGCGUGCCUAAUACAUGCAAGUAGAACGCUGAAGGAGGAGCUUGCUCUUCUGGAUGAGUUGCGAACGGGUGAGUAACGCGUAGGUAACCUGCCUGGUAGCGGGGGAUAACUAUUGGAAACGAUAGCUAAUACCGCAUAACAGUAGAUGUUGCAUGACAUUUGCUUAAAAGGUGCAAUUGCACCACUACCAGAUGGACCUGCGUUGUAUUAGCUAGUUGGUGGGGUAACGGCUCACCAAGGCGACGAUACAUAGCCGACCUGGGAGGGUGAUCGGCCACACUGGUACUGAGACUCUGCCCAGACUCCUUCGGGAGGCAGCAGUAGGGAUUCUUCGGCAAUGGACGUAAGUCUGACCGAGCGACGCCGCGUGAGUGCAGAAGGUUUUCGGAUCGUAAAGCUCUGUUGUAAGAGUAGAACGAGUGUGAGAGUGGAAAGUUCACACUGUGACGGUAUCUUACCAGAUAGGGACGGCUAACUACGUG